GUUCUCACUUUAGCAGCACAUUUGCUAACAAUGGAACAAUACGGAGAUUAGCAUGUGGCCUGCAUAAGGAUGACAUGAGAGAAAAAAAUUAUUUCA
rnacentral:snRNA from 1 species